rnacentral:rRNA from 1 species
CGGAGGGAUCAUUACUGAGUUUACGCUCUA